UUAUUCUGUAAAUUUAAAAUUUAAAUUAUUAAUAGACUAGGGUCUUAAAAGUUAAAAAAUUUGGCGGUAUUUUAUUCAAUUCAGAGGAACCUGUUCUGUAAUCGAUAGUCCACGAUUAAUUUUACUUUAAUUAUGCUUUGUAUAUCGUUGUUUUAAUUGAAUGUUUUAAUAGAAUGAUUUAAAUUUUCUAUAAUUUAAAAUAUUAAUUUAUUUCAGAUCAAGGUGCAGGUUAUUAAAGUAGAAAUGGGUUACAUUAUUUUUAUAAAUAUGGAUUUAAUUAUUAGUUUUUUAUUGAAAUUGGAUUUGAUUGUAAAAGGUUAUAUAUAUGAUUUUUGAUUAAUUGCUCUAAAAUGUGC
rnacentral:rRNA from 1 species